rnacentral:rRNA from 1 species
GACGAACGCUGGCGGCGUGCUUAGCACAUGCAAGUCGAACGGAAAGGCCCUGCUUUUGUGGGGUGCUCGAGUGGCGAACGGGUGAGUAACACGUGAGUAUCCUGCCCUUGACUUUGGGAUAACUUCAGGAAACUGGGGCUAAUACCGGAUAGGAGCUCCUGCUGCAUGGUGGGGGUUGGAAAGUUUCGGCGGUUGGGGAUGGACUCGCGGCUUAUCAGCUUGUUGGUGGGGUAGUGGCUUACCAAGGCUUUGACGGGUAGCCGGCCUGAGAGGGUGACCGGCCACAUUGGGACUGAGAUACGGCCCAGACUCCUACGGGAGGCAGCAGUGGGGAAUAUUGCACAAUGGGCGGAAGCCUGAUGCAGCAACGCCGCGUGCGGGAUGACGGCCUUCGGGUUGUAAACCGCUUUCGCCUGUGACGAAGCGUGAGUGACGGUAAUGGGUAAAGAAGCACCGGCUAACUACGUG